UAAGACAGAGGUGGCAAGCGUUGUUCGGAAUUACUGGGCUUAAAGGGCGCGUAGGCGGUGGAGUAAGUCCGGGGUGGAAGGCUGAGGCUUAACCUCAGGAUUGCCCUGGAAACUGCAUCACUUGAGUCAGCAAGGGGAUGGCGGAAUUCCUGGUGUAGCGGUGAAAUGCGUAGAUAUCAGGAGGAAGGCCGGUGGCGAAGGCGGCCAUCUGGUGCUGAACUGACGCUGAGGCGCGAAAGCGUGGGGAGCAAACAGGAUUAGAUACCCUGGUAGUCCACGCCCUAAACGGUGGAUACUAGGUGUAGGGCUCGUAAGGGUUCUGUGCCGAAGGGAAACCAUUAAGUAUCCCGCCUGGGGAGUACGGCCGCAAGGUUGAAACUUAAAUGAAUUGACGG
rnacentral:rRNA from 1 species